GACAGAGAGAGAGAAACAGAGAAAGACAGCAGUGCAAAUGUAUUUUAUUUUUAUUUAUUUAACUAGGCAAGUCAGUUAAUCUAGUGACUACCCAUCCCGCAUGCGGGAGCGUAAUCAUCGACUGACACUAAUUAGCAUAACGCAACGGACAUAAAUAUUCUUAGAAAAUAUUCCUAUUCAUGAAAAUCACAAAUGAAAUAUAUUGAGACACAGCUUAGCCUUUUGUUAAUCACCCUGUUAUCUCAGAUUUUCAAAAUAUGCUUUACAGCCAAAGCUAGACAAGCAUUUGUGUAAGUUUAUCGAUAGCCUAGCAUAGCAUUUUGUCCAGCUAACAGCAGGUAACUUGGUCACGGAAAUCAGAAAAUCAAUCAAAUUAAAUCGUUUACCUUUGAUGAGCUUCGGAUGUUUUCACUCACGAGACUCCCAGUUAGAGAGCAAAUGUUCCUUUUUUCCAAAAAUAUUAUUUUUGUAGGCGAAAUAGCUCCGUUUGUUCUUCACGUUUGGCUGAGAAAUCGCCCAGAAAUUGCAUUCACGAAAACGCCGAAAAAUAUUCCAAAUUAGCUCCAUAAUAUCUACAGAAACAUGGCAAACGUUGUUUAUAAUCAAUCCUCAAGGUGUUUUUCAAAUAUCUAUUCGAUAAUAUAUCCGUCGGGACAAUUCGUUUUUCAGUAGGACCGAUUGGAAUAAUGGCUACCUCUGUAUUUUACAGAGAGUCACUCUGGGAGCCAUCAGGCAAUGUAGCCGCUUACGGGUAUUCUUCAACAUAAAUGCGUAAAACUACGUCACAAUGCUGUAGACACCUUCGGGAAUACGGAGAAAGAGUAAUCUUGUUGAUAGCCCAUUCACUGCUCAAUAGGGACGCAUUGGAACGCGGCGCUUUCAAAACAUGAGGCACUUCCGGAUUGGAUUUUUCUCAGGCUUUCGCCUGCAACAUCAGUUCUGUUAUACUCACAGACAAUAUUUUUACAGUUUUGGAAACUUUAGAGUGUUUUCUAUCCUAAGCUGUCAAUUAUAUGCAUAUUCUAGCAUCUUGUCCUGACAAAAUAUCCCGUUAUUUUUCAAAAAAUUAAAAUACUGCCCCCUAGUCACAAUAGGUUUUAAGAACAUUUUUUUAUUUACAAUGAUGGCCUACGUACUUAGACUUGAGUAUUUCAACAACUCUUCUCUUCCAACUUGUUAGGCAAGCAUAUGUACCUAUGGAGGAAGGAUGGCCAGCCACAUAGGAGGGUGAUUUUUUUCUAAUGAGGAGAAGGAGGCUGUGCUGACCGAAGAUGCAUGCUGGCCAUUUCGGAGGGAAGUGCAUGAUUGCCAAAAUCAACCUACAUUUCUUCUGACAGGGAAUUGUCAAGGAGGCUGGUACUUCCUGGUCCCCUGGUGCCGAACCUCACGACACCCCUCCACCUCCCCUGGCCAUCUAGGGUAGCCCCGCCUAUCCUGUCAGAUCCCUCCUGGACUCCCGACGUUGUGGGUGUCGGCUCCAGUACCUGGUGGACUGUGAGGGGUAUGGUCCAGAGGAGCGGUGUUGGGUUCCGGUGGACAACAUUCUAGAUCCCAACAUCACCUGAGAUUUCCACAUUCGCCGACCAGACCGGCAUGCUCUUCGCCCUCAGGGCGGUUCCCCUGGCCGGUGUCGUCCUGUGACUGGAGCCGUGGGGGGGAGGGGGUACUAUCACGUCUUUUCCUGCUCCGGUGCUCGACAUCACCAGCAACCCAUCAUUACACCUACCUGGCAACCAUCAUUACGCACACCUGCGCCCCGUCAUGAGGCAAACAUGGACUUCAUCACACCGUGAUUACUUCCCCUUUAUCUAGUGCUCCAUUGUAUCAUCCAUUACGUAGUAUUGUUUCCUGUUUUCAUGUUUAGACACUACUCCUGUUUUUGUAUUCACUCCAUGUUUGUUCCUAUUGAAUUCACCAACUGCACCUGG